UACAGAGGGGCAAGCGUUGUUCGGAAUUACUGGGCGUAAAGGGCGCGUAGGUGGUCGGGUAAGUUUGAUGUGAAAGCUCCGAGCUUAACUCGGAAAUUGCAUUGAAUACUAUUCGGCUAGAGGGUUGGAGGGGGGACUGGAAUUCUCGGUGUAGCAGUGAAAUGCGUAGAUAUCGAGAGGAACACCAGUGGCGAAGGCGAGUCCCUGGACAACUCCUGACACUGAGGCACGAAAGCUAGGGGAGCAAACAGG
rnacentral:rRNA from 1 species